ACUCCUACGGGAGGCAGCAGUGGGGAAUAUUGCACAAUGGGCGCAAGCCUGAUGCAGCCAUGCCGCGUGUAUGAAGAAGGCCUUCGGGUUGUAAAGUACUUUCAGCAGUGAGGAAGGUGGAUAUGUUAAUAGCAUACUCAUUUGACGUUAGCUGCAGAAGAAGCACCGGCUAACUCCGUGCCAGCAGCCGCGGUAAUACGGAGGGUGCGAGCGUUAAUCGGAAUUACUGGGCGUAAAGCGCAUGCAGGUGGUUUGUUAAGUCAGAUGUGAAAGCCCGGGGCUCAACCUCGGAAUUGCAUUUGAAAACUGGCAAACUAGAGUAACUGUAGAGGGGGUAGAAUUUNAGUGUAGNGGUGAAAUGCGUAGAGAAUCUGAAGG
rnacentral:rRNA from 1 species